CUAUUCCUGGUCUGGGUCUAUUCCUGGUGUGGGUCUAUGCCUGGUCUGGGUCUAUGCCUGGUCUGGGUCUAUUCCUGGUCUGGGUCCAUGCCUGGUCUAGGUCUAGGGGGUCUAGGGGGACUUGUGGGUGGAUGCCGUCUGGUGCCUCGCUGGGGCCCAGCCGGACUCCAAGGUCACCUUCCCUCCAGAAGCUCCGCGGGAGGCUGCCAGAGGAGGCUGCUGAGCCGUGUGCUCCAGUGCCAGACUACCGCCUCCUCUCCCCGCACGCACACGGUUAACGGUGCGCAGGCCGGGUGAACGCACGCCCACACAGAGGAAUGAGGUGCACACGCUCCUCAUCUGGGAGGUACGCAGUGUACCCACUGAAACCCAACACCAGCUGUCUGGAACUGUCAACAUCCACCUCUAGGGAGAGAGGCCUGCCCACACAGCUCAGAGAGAGAGAGGGGGAGAGAGACCUGCCCACACAGCUCAGAGAGAGAGAGGGGGAGAGAGG
ensembl:lncRNA